UGGAUCAGGAUAGGGAUCAAGGAAGGAACAUACGGAUUUGUUACAUAACUUGCCACCCUCUCCUGGUGAGAAGACGGGAGCACAGCAAGUGGAGGGAGUGGAUAACGCUGAUGACUGGUACUGGCAGCGACCUCCUGCAGGAAGGGGGUUUGGGAAGCAUUUUUUUGUGCACUUCCAUGUACAGUCAGUGGAGAGGCUGCUGGAGACCUGGCUGUGUGGGCUGAGCACCAGGCAGCUCGUUAUCUCAGCUCACCACUGCCUUUCGUGGCAGAAUUUGUGCCAGCCAGAUGGGCAGCUUUGUCUGACUUAUCCCAAGAUAAAACCAAGGAAGAACGGGGCCUUGAGGAGGAGGGAGAAACAGUCUGAUGGCUACAGCAAGUCAGAGAGGGGCUUUAUUCCUGUCCCACUACCACCACUGGUGUUUGUAACACCUAGAAGAGCAUUCUUAUGAAAAAUUCAAACUAAUUUUAUAACUGAAAGCAAGCAUGAGAGCCUAUUCCUGGCUACAGAAUGAAACUAUUGACCUUGACUCAAGAAAUCCAUAAAGAUAGAAGGAAUCAAUUUAAAAAAUGAAGUGCUUGUGAAGGAGGAAGGGCUCCUUCUGUCCAAGUUUUUAAUUCUGUCUCUAAACUACGGGAUGGAAAGGCAAAUACGCAUUCUGAAAUGGCUGAAUGAAUGCCCCAUGCCAUAGGAGCACACAGUCAGCUGGAGCAGCCCUCAAGUGACUCCUCCCUUGAACCCUUCACUCUUGUUAAGGACUAAUACUGUAGGAUGGCAGCAAUCUGUGAUGGAUCCAGUGUCCUGGAAUAAUCUCUUAUCUUCCAUAUGACUGGUGUUGGAGGUGGAAAGAAAGAACUGAGAGUCCUGCAGGAGAAUACAUCAAGUAAAAGAGCAGCUUCUGCUGGAGUGAAGCAGAUGUGAUGUAAUGUUGCUUUCCAGGUUGAAAAACUCCUACCUAGAGAAUUUCCUGAGCAGAAGGCUUCAGUUUCUUCAAACUACCUGUGAAAACAAGGCCUAAAAAAGCGUCCUUUGAAAGAACACAGAUUUCAGCACUGAACAUUGGUCAAGUAAACCAGGACAUAAUUUAGGGUCUCAGCUGUAUACACAUUGUUUUUUGGUAGCAGUUGAGGACCUUGCAGCUUGGCUUCUCAUCAUAGGAGUUACCAUGCUGGAACUGUGGCUCAACCCUCCAUGUUGACCAAUACAACUGGGCAGAGCUUUCCUUAUUGAGAGAGUCUAUGAAGAAAACAGAGUGAUAGAAACUGCAUACCUGGAAAACAAGCAAAGCCACUCCUGAUCAGUAGCAGUAUAAUAACCACCUGCCCCAAGGCUGCAGAAGCCACGAGUGUCACACAGCUCCUUUCAGCCCUAGAAAUUUAUGCGAUACAGUAAAAGCUUUGAUCAGGCUUUUGGAAGGGUUCCUGAAGAAGCCAUACUUCCGUGAAAAGUACCUUGCUGUGCUCAGCAAAGCUCCUGCUCCUGCCCAUGGACGUGAUUGUGAAGGUUUAAUCAUCUUAUUUCCUCCUUGUUUGGCUCUGGGGUUGUUGUCACACAGCUGUAGUGUCCAGGAGCCUGUGGCACAUGUCCCUGCCUGUGCCCAGAGGGGGACAAUCCACCUGGCUGAAUCCACCUCUGCUGCAGGUGCCCAUCUCCAACCAUAGACUUGCUCAGGGGCUCUCUGAGCUGCCAAGUUUUAAAUAGUCCUCAAAUCCUCUUCUCUAGGAGAUGAGGAAGAGGGGUUGUCAAUGCCAGCUGGGUUUUUAGAGGGAGCUUUGAGAGCUGGCCUUGGACUCUUAAGCUGUGGGAACCCUGUGUCCAUAUCUGCCAGUGAAAUAAUAUUUUAAACACACAGAAAUGAAUCCAGCUAUGUCAGCACAGGGAAAAUAUUGAUAUUACUAAGAACAUUAUACAACACUUUAUUUAGUCCAAGGGAAAGUUUUCUAGAGAACUUGAGUAAACAAUCCAUAAAAAAAGCCCUCUGCUUUAGCUGGGUGCUGGACAAGCCAACCUAAUAUAUCUUUUCCAUUUCUCACCUCAAAAACCCAGUGCAGUCUAUUUUUUUUUAUUUUUUUUUUUAUGUCAGUGAUCAGUGGAGCAUAUCUUUGUGUGCUGGAAAAGAGAUUGGCUAUAACCAUCUUGUAAUAGCUUUGACAUGUACUUUGUCUUUUUAUAAAAAACAAACUUUUAAAGUUCAUAGUUAAUAAGAGGCCUCAGAUUCUUAUAAGCAGUUUAAUCAGGCUGUGCCAGUACAAGGCACAUGGUUAAACACAGUCUCUUCUAAGCAAGGGCAUGACUUGCUACUUUUAAUGCAUGAUAUCUUUUGCUGUUGGGCCUCUGAGUCUUGACUUAUGUUCAAUCUUUCAAUUAAAUUCCCCUCAGACAUGUGAAUUUUGUCAAUGCUUACUUCUCCCACACAAAAAUCUGGUUAUAUUAUGUGAUGUUUUCUUCAGAUCUUCACUAUUCUGCAUUGCAUUUCCCACCCCCUUUUUUAUUUUUUCCUUCUCUCUGCUGGAAGGAAAAACUGUUUUUAACUGUGCCUGGAGCUUUGUCCUUUGUCCUUCACCCAUGUCUCUUGGACAGCAAACCUCUGUCUGCAUAACAAGCAUCCCACUGAGCUCCUCUGCUCCCCCUGAAAGGAGGUCUCUGACACAACAGAGGGGUUUUUCCAUUACAAGUAAAUUCUGUGCCCCUUUCCUAGGGAUAACCUGAAGCUCAGCACGCAGCAGGCUCAGGGCACUCAGCUGCCAGUUGGAGCUUCCUCUUUGCUUCACUCUGAGUUAAAUUACCAUUUAGUUCAUUUCUUUCCAUUUUCUGGGUUUUGAAUGAUAUUCUGUCCAGAGGAGAUGAGGGGAUUUUUGUCAAAAUUCGAAUUAGGGACAAUUUAGAGAACGAGGAGGGGAAAAAAAAUAGAAAAAAACAAGCAAGGAGACUAAUGUAACAUGUUGAAUGAGAGAUACUAAGCAAGCUCAGUGUGUUGAUCUCCCACAUAGCUCUGGAUCAUCCCUCAGCUCCUGCUUUCAAUCCCAGGUGUGCAGGGAAGGACUGGGGCAUAGCCUGGGCUGAGUGUGGUGGUGCUGCAUCUUUGUCCCUACUGUGGCUGAAACAACCCUGGCCAGCUUUGGACUUGACUGUUUUCUGUAUUUCAUUUUGUUCUGUAUUUCACAUUGGGUAAGAGCUUUGUUUGGCAGGUUUAACAUGCUGCUUUUAAAGAGCUCCUAAUUCAGAAGUGUUUUGUGCAUUUCUGCAGUUUUCAGGAGCCGUAAAAGAGAACAGUUAUCCAUUCUUGAACACAGUUGUAUUUUUUUCAGAGCUGGGUUUUGAUGCCAGCUUUUAUUUUUCCAUUGAGCUCUGUCACUGAGUAGAGCCAUUUGCAGUUGGAAAACAUCAAAGGACUGGUGGUUUUAUGGGUCACAUUUAAGCACAUGGAGAGCUUUGAAGUUAAUACUUCAUUGAAAGGAAGUGCUCAGUUGGUUGUUGUUUCACCACAUCCUAAUUACCGAAAUUAACCCUGACCACUAAUGAAAUUUCUAAUGAACAUAAUGUGGUCUUUGCUUCAAAGGGAAUUCCACACACAAAGCAGCCAGGGCAGCCAGGGGACAAGGACUAAUACAAGGACCCAGUGAGAUUGAUGACUUCUCCUCUUUGCAACUUAUUUUGGUAGGAAAAGUGUUCAAAGAGCUUGUACGUACCAGUCCUUAUAUACCUACACAUUCAAGGUCUCAUCAGAAUCUUGAGGGGUCUGGUUCAUCAUAUAAUAAAAUAAGUCCAGUUAAACUACUCCUUGAGGAGGCAGGAUUUCCUCUGAUGUGUUACUAUAGGAAUUUUCCAGUUAAACUUGAGAGUAGGUUUUCAGUGGGAAUGCAGAAAGCCUGUCUGUUAAUGACCUCAUCCCAGAGACCUGGAAAGAUAAAAUUUUUACUAUCUCUCCCCAGUGGACUCCCAAGAGACUUGCUCAAAGUCUUGUUUUCGCAACACAUUCAGGUAUGAGCCUUGACCUGAAGGACAAAAAUCUGUCUUGCAGUCACAGGGGAAUGUAAGAAGAAGAACUGGCACAUUUCAACCCUCAUUGUUCCUUUUCAGGUGUGGUGAAUAUAAGCAAACCCUGCUUUCAGACAGGCUGUUAUUGAGGGGGACCUCCCUGUACAGAAUAAUUCAUCCAAAUUAACCACUUCAUCUGGUUUCAGUCACAUAGCUCUCGAUCACUGUUUUACAGAUUAAAAGAUCUCAUCUAAGAUUUAACACAUUGAUUCAAUUACUUCAACUUGUGCUUCAAACACCAUCAAAGUGUUGAUUCUUUUCCCUUAAUUCUUUUGAAAGGCUAAUUCAGACUGACUCAUUAACUAGAGAUGACUGCAAAUUUGGAUAAUGUGUUUAAGUGGAGAAGCUUGAUCCAUCUUGAUUAAAAGGUUUUUUGUAGCUAAUGCUUAACCUCUGAAGUUCGUAAACUCAGCUACAGCUAAUGAGUGUGUUUCAUUCUCAAAUGUUUAAGCAUCCUCCCACUUCUUUUUGCCCCUGAAAUCAAAAGGGGUUGCUUCCUGAGCUGCAGAAUGCAACGUUUAUGCUAAUUCAAAAUCAUUAUAAUUAUUUCACAGUCACUGGAAAACCUAUGUGCAAACAGUUACAUAAAUGCCGUGAAUGAACACACCAGCACACUGUUUGCUUCACUAAGUAAAUCAGUACAUUAGAAGGAUAAACUAUUUUAUUGCCUAAUUAGCCCUCAUCCAGGAAGGGUGUUUUCAUGAGCAGGAAGCCAGAUGGACAAAAACUGUCCUGGAUCACUUGCUCUGAAAAAGCACUGCAAGAAAAACUGAUUACAUGCAUUUCUGACACCUUUCCUUGUAUUUGGAGCAGGCAGAGGUGAGGAAAAAGCAAACUUGGUGCAUGACUUUAAGGCACGGAAGGGGAUUGUUCUGACUUCCUGCAUUGUCAGCAUAGGUUAAAGAAUAUGUGCAUAAAAACAUAUGAUUUUGGGGGCUGUAUUUUAGGUCACAAACAUGAGGACAAACAGCUUCUGAACAUGUGGUCUGGAGUGUUAGGAAUGCUACAAAUUGUGCUUGAUUACAACAAAAAGGGAUUACCAUAUUUAGUGGGGUGCAUCUAAUAGGAUGCAUUUUAUAGAGUUCUUUUUACACCAAAAUACUUGCUUACUGUAAAACAGCAGUUUACUGUAAAACAGGCUUCUGACUGUGCUGAUCACGUGAGAUGUGGGCAGUAGAACUCGUGAAAAAAAUUUCAUAUAAUAAUUUUUUUCAAAGUUUAGCAUGUGCAGAAAUUGUUUGUGAACCCAAGUAGAUACCUUUACACAGAAGGGAACUGAAAGUGGACCAUGGUCCAAAAGCUUGUGGUGAAUAACUCCCAGCAGCAUGAUAGGACACCAUAAGAGAGAAAUCUUCUCUUCCCUGGAAAAUUUUGAAAUUCUCUGGAAAUCCCAGAAAGGUUUUGAAGACACCUUUAAUGUUGCUGACCCAGGCACCAGGGGAAGGAACCCUCUGCUCCUCCAACUUUCCCAAGUUGGCUGUAGGCAGGGGAAAGACCAGGUUUGCUCUGACCUGGUGGGGCCCUCUGCAAGGCUUUUUUCUUUGCUAUAUCAGUGGUACAGCUGUAUUGGAAAUGACAGGUUUCUCUGUGGACUUCAGACUGCUAAAUGAGUGAGUGUGUGUGUGUGUGUGUGUGACAUUGUGUUUGUCACAGCAGCAUUGUCCGUGUGGAGUUUGGGAGGAUGCAAAGCACUUCUAUAGGAAGCUGAUCCAGUGUUCAUAUACAGACAGUAAGGGAUGUGAGCUGUAUGACAUGCCACUGAAGCAGCUCUCAUAAUGACUUUUUGUAAUAAUAAAGGUCUGGCUGAAAAAUGGAAUCUGCUCCCUGGCAUGGAUGCUUUGGUCCAGAAAUUUUAUUUCUUGUUUCUAUCUCAUCAGUUAAUGCCUGAAAGAAAACAAUAUCCCUUCAACGUGAGUCAUUGGGAAAUAAAACUGUGGGAGAAAGCUUGUGUUUGUGUUUAGACAGUGUUGUUUGCUCUUCAGUGCGUAUAAUUAAGUUUGAAUACUUCAUAUUCAGGCUACAUUGAAGUUGUUCUAAAAGUCAUUUUCAGGUUGCAAGUCAUUUCACCCCAGAGAAAAGACUUAAAUGUGAGAUCUGGUUUCUUUUCUUUGACUUAAGGGAGCAGAGGUUCAAGCAGAUAACAUGUAAAUGUCUGUAUUUUGGAUAUUUAAAGUAAAGGGAGGUGACACCUGCCUGCUCGAUCUGUAAACAGGUACUGGAGGGUCACCAGCUUGCAUAGCCAAGAUUCCAGGCUCUCCCAGGGCCACUUCCCUGGCAAUCCCUGUACUGGCCUUUGAGUGGUCCUCCCUUUGUUCCCAGCAUUUGUCCAGCUCUCCAAAAAUAAAGUAGGCCUAAACUGUAGCAGGUAUAAAUCAACACAACACCAGUGAUUUCCACGAAAACCUGUGACAAGGAUUUGGCUGUGAAAUGCUUCAAAAAACCCCUGCAUUAACAGACCAGUCCACAGAAGCAUUCCUGCCUUCUGCCCCGCUAUGACAUGGUUUACCGGGGGUGUGACGACAGCAGGCUGUACAAGGGUGACAGCACCAGGAGACCAGAAGUUUGCUCACAGACUCUUCUGCAGUGGGAAAAGAAGCUGGUGUUCAUGCAGGGAAUGAAUAAAAGGCUUUAGCAGCAGCAAGGUCUCUCUCUGCCAGGUGGAUGAAGAAUUUCUCCCUGCCUUGCUUCUUAUGCUGCAUCUCUGUGGGGUGCAGUGGCAGUAUGGAGAUGUACAGGAUGGAUGGCUGCCUCUGUGGUUGUCAGAGACUGAAAUAGUUAAUGAUUUAUGCAUUCCAGGAGUUUGCAGGCUUUGACUUUUGCCCUAAAAAGGCAAGAAGAUGCCUCAGGUGGGCUAAGCCCUAAAAAGGCAAGAAGAUGCCUCAGGUGAGCUAAGCCCUAAAAGGCAAGAUACCUCAGGUGGCCAAUUGGGCCCAUCCCUCCCUCCAGUGCUAAGCCCAGAAAAGGCAAACAACUCCUCAUGCCAGGGAGGUGCAAAAGCAUGCUGAGGGUAUAUAAACUGACUGGUGACUAUGUCCAUUUCUUUUGCACUCUCAGCUUCUCUUUUCCCUUACUCUCGUCCUGUUUUUUCUCUCCCCUAAGCAGUUUCUCC